CGGCGGACGGGUGAGUAACACGUGGGUAACCUACCUAUAAGACUGGGAUAACUUCGGGAAACCGGAGCUAAUACCGGAUAANAUUUCGAACCGCAUGGUUCGAUAGUGAAAGAUGGUUUUGCUAUCACUUAUAGAUGGACCUGCGCCGUAUUAGCUAGUUGGUAAGGUAACGGCUUACCAAGGCGACGAUACGUAGCCGACCUGAGAGGGUGAUCGGCCACACUGGAACUGAGACACGGUCCAGACUCCUACGGGAGGCAGCAGCU
rnacentral:rRNA from 1 species